AAGCCGUUAAAGGCAGUUGAGGAUGAACUACCAGUGUGUGGAAAGGUGUAAAACCUUUUCGAUCCAUAGAAGCAGUCAAAAAUUACUUCAGUCCCUCAGCGUUAAGGUUUAGGAACAAUGUUCAUUUCGCAUUACCACCUGAAAAUUAUCUCAUCGUGACUUCUCGUGGCAAUGUGUGCAUGGGGAUUCUGAAUGCUGGCGAAAUAAAUUUGGAACAUCCGAAUAUCAUUGGAGGUAAGAAAUGCUAAAGAACAAAAACCCAAAUACACAAAUUUUGUUUGUGCAAGAGUUGAUUUGAUUUGAGUUAACCUCUAUUACUUUUACAGACAUUUCUAUGACAAGGUGGUGGUUUAUGACAAUGAGAGAAGGAUGAUUGGAUGGGCUUCUUCGAAUUGCGAUAGGCGAUUUUGAACUUUUUUCUUAGCAUUGUCAUGCAAUUGAAGAUUCUUGAGAAGAGACUGGAGGAACAAAGGCUGAAAGGUAGAUAAUGUAACUGGUGUCACGCAUGGAUUUUCACCAGGAUAUCAUACAAUAGCAUGA